UGGCGACGAAGUAGAGGUUGGGGUCAAUGUUCGGCGCCUUGUCGACGCCGACGGGGAUGAGCGGGGUGCUGGUGCUCGCGCUGGCGCCGCAACCGCGUCGUCGUCGCCGAGCCAUGCGAAGCUCCUGAGAUCGCCGUCGAUGAAGUAGGCGAACCUCCGGAACGACGCGGCGAGGACGCUGCGCCUGCCGAGGCCGACAACGGCGGCGUCCUUGCGGGAGGAGGAGGCGGAGGCAGAGGAGCACAUGUACACCACAGUGUCUAUUCCCCUGCUUGAUCAGUCUCUCUUCUCACCGACACUCGAAGACUAUUGACGAUUGAGUUUUAAGACUUUGAUCACCAUGCUUAGGCAGCUUAGCUUAAAACAUUAAUUGAAUAUAUAUAUAUUGGUCAGGGUUUUC
rnacentral:sRNA from 1 species